rnacentral:rRNA from 1 species
UACGUAGGGUGCAAGCGUUGUCCGGAAUUAUUGGGCGUAAAGAGCUCGUAGGCGGCUUGUCGCGUCGACUGUGAAAACCUAGGGCUCAACCUGGGCCUGCAGUCGAUACGGGCAGGCUUGAGUGUGGUAGGGGGAGACUGGAAUUUACGGUGUAGCAGUGAAAUGCGUAGAGAUCGUAAGGAAGACCAGUGGCGAAGGCGGGUCUCGUGGACAGUUCCUGACACUGAGGCACGAAGGCCAGGGGAGCAAACGGG